rnacentral:rRNA from 1 species
AGCGAUCGCUGGCGGCAGGCCUAACACAUGCAAGUCGAACGAAGCCUUCGGGCUUAGUGGCGGACGGGUGAGUAACACGUGGGAACGUACCUUUUGGUUCGGAAUAACGCAGAGAAAUUUGCGCUAAUACCGAAUGAGCCCUUCGGGGGAAAGAUUUAUCGCCGAAAGAUCGGCCCGCGUUGGAUUAGGUAGUUGGUGUGGUAAAGGCGCACCAAGCCUACGAUCCAUAGCUGGUCUGAGAGGAUGAUCAGCCACACUGGGACUGAGACACGGCCCAGACUCCUACGGGAGGCAGCAGUGGGGAAUCUUGCGCAAUGGGCGAAAGCCUGACGCAGCCAUGCCGCGUGAAUGAUGAAGGUCUUAGGAUUGUAAAAUUCUUUUACCAGGGACGAUAAUGACGGUACCUGGAGAAAAAGCCCCGGCUAACUUCGUGCCAGCAGCCGCCGUAACAC